AGUCUGUAUCUCUGCAAUGCUUUGACAUAUUGACACCAAACUUUGCAAGUGUCAUUGUCACCUCACUCUGACCAUACCACAUUAAUUUGGUCACAGCGCCACCUAUUGGUCGAAAGUGAUGAACCAGUAAAUCCUUACUUUUGACAGUAUAUAUCAUUUUUUAGCUCUUUUGCCUAAAAUAGACUCUUUUGCCUAAAAUCUUAAUAGGUCUUUAAUUGCUCACUGUUGCAGUUGGUCUGAUGCUCACAGUCAUGUUGGCUGGCUUCUUGUGCCGUUUUUGUGCUUGGCCCCGUAAUUGCUGCUUGCAGCUAUAUUUUUAUGUGUUGCUUUCUUUAACGUCCUUCCUUUUGGAUAUUUUGGUCAUAGAUCAUUUCUAACAUACUGUUUCAACAUGUAUAUAUUUCUCUUUGUUUCAGCUGAAAAUGAAGACCAAAGGAAAGGGUUGUCAAAGUCUUGUUGAACCUGUCUUGUUUGUGGAGAGGGAUGAAUUUGGCCAUCUUGUGCGUUUACGGAGAAGACAAAAAGCUGCAAAUGCAAACGUUUCCAAUGGUAGGAAGAGUUUGCAUGAUGGCUUUUUGUCAGACUGAAUCUGAUGAAAACAGAUGAACUCAGGAGCGUUCACUGGGAACUCAGUCCUGCUAGAGUUCCCAGUGAAGUUGAGCUCGAAGCUGCUAGUGCUGAAACUUAAACAGCUACUGGUGAGGCUUGGCAAGUUCUUGCCAUGAUCAGCCCUACCCAGCUGAAAUGGAAGACCAAAAACGCAAAGAAAAUCAGUCACAGCAAGCCAGGCAUACCAGUCCUGUUGGGGAUGAGGAAUGAACAUGGCCACCUUGUGCCUGAACAGAAAAGACAGAAAGAUGAAAAGGUGCACAUUUCCACUGAAAGACUAUAUCAAGAGGUAGAAGAGCUGUCAGCUGGCACUACAAACACUCAAUGCUGAGGUCAGUCUUCACAGAAGUGGUCAGUUCGCAUGGCCCAGACUGAAGAGAAGAGGGUCUGAGGCCAGAGAUGAUGGAGUCUUUGUUGACGGAGUAUUCUGUGGCCACCAAGUGCAGCACUGCAGCCUGAAACCAUCAUCAGUUUUCCGAUGUGAAGACUGCUUUCCCAACAGCUCUACUGUGACAACUCAGGUGUUAUGGCCCAUAAAAGUAAACAUCACAACCUUGAGAACUGAGAGAUAACCAAUGGACUUCAUCCCCUGCUUGAGAAAAAGCUACACUGCAUCAGUGGUGCUGAAGAACUAUUUGAGCUGCUUCAAGUUCACAUCACUGAGGACCACACAUGGCCCAUCCACACCGAUGCUGUGCUGAAAAAGGCUCAACAGUAUCUUUUCUUCCUCAGACAGCUGAGGAAGUUCAGUGUGAGCCCCAAAACCCUCAAAUCAUUUUACACAUGCACUGUGGAGAACAUCCUGACUGGCUGCAUCCCUGCCUGAUAUAGGAACAGCACCGCCCUAAACUGCAAAGCUCUUCAGAGAGCGUUACAAACUGCACAGAACAUUGUUGGAGGUGAGCUUCCCUCCAUCCAGGACAUCUACAAAAGGUGGUGUGUGUGUGAGGAAAGCACAGAGGACCUUCAGAGACUCCAGCCACCCGAGCCAUGGACUGCUCUCACCAUUACUAUCAGGCAGACGUUAUCGCUGAACCCGCACCAGCAGACUGCGAGACAGGUUCUUUCCACAGGCAUUCAGAAUGCACUGAACUCAUACCAGUAACACCACACACAGCACACCCCACACCACCAACCUCAUAUACACUGCACUCUAUCAGUUACAUCAGUUACACUGACUGGACUCUGACCAGUGGCAUAGCGUCUGGGCAUGUAGGAAACCCCCCAUCGGCCCCAAAUGUGUGCAUGCCUUUUCAGCGCCCCUGUGAAGUUCACUUAAUUUCUAGAAUUUAGUUUCAAUUUUACUUUAGCUGCUCGUUUAAUCUGACUCCAAUUUCAAAUGAUAAUUACUCUUAGAUGGUGUUUCCAAUUAGAAAUUAAUCAUUGGUUAUGCAUUAAUUUAGAUUUUUGAUUAACUGCAACUUAUUUAAGGCAGCGAUAGUCAGAAAUCGAUAUGGUCUUAAUUGAUGUGCCCUAUGCUCCACCUAUUAAGCCUCCUGUAUGUCUAUCCUGAACACAAAUUUGCGGUAAUACUUUCACUUUAAUCUACUAGAAAUAAUGAAUUAAGAAUAAUGCAGAAUAAAUCAAGAAUAAUAUUUGUUUUUCAAGUAAAAAUGUAUCAUACCAAUUACAUAGUUGGACAAUUAGAAGCCAAUUCAGAAAUAAUAAAUGCAUACUGUAGAUGUGUGAUGGCAAGGCGUUGUCCUAUGCUAUUUCUUUGAGAUCUUCUCUCCCCAUAUGAGUUUUAUAGCUUUAUUGCGGGGUGCUUGUUCUCAGUUUUUGUCUUAGCAGGAAAAUCAAGUCUUACAGGCAUGCAAGGUAUGCGCGUGCAUAUGGGCCCGGGCGGAUUGGGGGCCCGCUAUUAUGGGCUUAACCCCAAAGUAUACUUUCGUCAUUAGGAGAAUUCGCGGACGUCCGCACUCCCCGUCCACGUACUGCGGUCAAGCCUCAGUAGAAUGCGCUGCUCCUCUCAGCCACCCACUGAACAGAGCAGACGCAGGUAUAUGAAGGUAAAAUGAUGCCAUAAAGAAUCGCAUGCGCAAGUAAUAUUUGUGGAAGUGUAGGCUACACAAGAUUGUAAGCGUAAAUUAAAUUUGCAUGCGCAAGAGAAGAUUUGUAAAGGUGUAAAUCGCAUUUCAAGCAUAAGAAAAAAUUAUUUGCAGCAUUUUACUGUUAUUCGUAAAUGCAAUUCAUGAAUUGUGAAAUUGUGAAAACUGUAGCUUUAUGCUAAAGCAAAAUAAAUAUGAUCUGUAUUCUUCUGACUACUGCAGUCAAGCCAGCCACGGUUUGAAAAUACACGGUCAAGCCAGCGGCCAAAAAAAAAGUGUGAGCGCCUACUACUUUGAACACGGUAAUUUCAGGAACAGCAGAGAGACAAGGGGCUUUCAGUAUGCUUGAGUUGCCCAGAUGUAUCUUUCUUUCUUUCUUUUUCUUUCUUUCUUUCUUUCUUUCUGAUAUUUAUCUUUCUUUUUUUCUUUUUUUCUUUCUUUUUGAUAUUUCUCUUUCUUUCUAAUAUUUUUCUUUCUAUAUAUCGGUCUGUCUAUCUUUUUUCAGUAUGCAUACCUCACAUGAGUAGAUUUUACUGCAGCAUUUUGGAGAUAUAUCACAUUAUUUGACUUCACAGGCCUAUAAAGUCCUCAUUUAAAAUAAGUAGAAAAAAAUAAUGGUCAGUUUCUAUAGGGGACGUCCCAUACAGUAUGCAGACUUUAUAUCAAACCAUUUUACUGUAACAUUUUGGAGAUGUAUGUCAUUAUUCUUCUUUAUACACCUAUAAACCUCAUUUCUAAUAAGUAGAAAAAAUUAAUGGUCAGUUUCUAUAGGAGACGUCCCAUACAGUAUGCAUACCUCCAUAUGAGUGGAUUUUACUGCAGGGUUUUUUGAGAUAUCACAUUAUUUGACUUCGGAGGCCUAUAAAGACCUCAUUUCAAAUAAGUGGAAAAAACUAAUGGUCAGUUUCCAUAGGGGACGUCCCAUACAGUAUGCAUACCUCAUAUGAGUACAUUUUACUGCAGCAUUUUUGAGAUAUAUCACAUUAUUUGACUUCGGAGGCCUAUAAAGACCUCAUUUCUAAUAAGGUCAGUUUCUAUAGGUGACAUCCCAUACUGUAUGCAUACCUCAUAUCAAUCCUUUUUACUGCAGCAUUUUGGAGAUGUGUCACAUUAAUCGACUUCACAGGCAUAUAAAGACCUCAUUUCUAAUAAGUGGAAAACACUAAAGGUCAGUUUCUAUAGGGGAUGUCCCAUACAGUAUGCAUACAUCAUAUGAGUACAUUUUACUGCAGCAUUUUGGAGAUAUAUAUCAUUAUUCUUCUUUAUACACCUAGAAAAACCUUAUUUCUAAUAAGUAGAAAAAACUAAUGGUCAGUUUCUAAAGGGGACAUCCCAUAUAGCAUGCAUACCUCAUAUGAGUGCAUUUUACUGCAGCGUUUUUGAGAUAUAUCACAUUAUUUGACUACGGAGGCCUAUAAAGACAUCAUUUCUAAUAAGUAGACAAAACCAGUGGUCUGAUUCUAUAGGGGACAUCCCACACAGUAUGCAUACCUCAUAUCUAACCAUUUUACUGCAGCAUUUUGGAGAUAUGAUACCAAUCUUUCAUUUGAAGGCCAUGUUUCUAGCAUCUGUAAAACCGCAUUCUUCCAUCUUAAAAAUAUAUCUAAACUACGACAUAUGCCCUCAAUGAAAAAUGCAGAACAGUUAGUUCAUGCGUUCAUGAUCUCAAGGCUAGAUUACUGUAAUGCUCUACUGGGUGGUUGUUCCGCUCUCCUGAUAAAUAAACUACAGCUUGUACAAAAUGCAGCAGCUAGAGUUGUUACUAGAACUAGGAAGUAUGACCAUAUUAGCCCAGUUCUGUCAACACUGCAUUGGCUUCCUGUUAAACAUUUGUAUAGAUUUUAUAGACCGCUGAUAAUACCUAGAAUAUCAAAAUCAACCGGUAGAUCCUUCUCCUAUUUGGCACCUAAACUCUGGAACAAUCUUCCUAGCAUUGUUUGGGAAGCAGACACACUCUGUCAGUUUAAAUCUAGACUAAAAACGCAUUUAGCCUCUUUAACCUGGCAUACACACAACACAUUAUCAAUUUAUAUUUUCAAAUCCGUUAAAGGAUUAUUAGGCUGCAUAAAUUAGGUCAGCUGGAACCAGGAACACUUCCUAUAACACCAGAUGUACUUGUUACAUCAGAAGAUAAAUGGCAUCUACGCUAAUAUUAGUCUUUCUGUUUAUCCCGAGGUUUGUCCAAAGUCAACUGGAUCUGGGCCGUAUCCAGGUGAGAUCGAGGACCCGCGCCUUGACACGACCGCAACGCAGCCCUGAAGUAUCAGCAGAGAUUGAGUCAACUAGAUCAUCCAUUGUGAAGGCCUCAUCGUCCAUACCGGUGUGAUGAAUACGAUCCUCAACUGGAUGGAAUAAAUACUUUGAUUGUUGCGAUCCUAUCGGACUUAUGAUAGCUACCUGAAUAGUAACAAAGCACUGUUCGCCAGAGGAGAACUGGCCCCCCGACUAAGCCUGGUUUCUCCCAAGGUUUUUUUCUCCAUUUUAACACCUAUUUGCCACCUGUUUGCCACCUGAUGUCACCUGUUGGAGUUUGGGUUCCUUGCCGCUGUCGCCUUUGGCUUGCUUAGUUGGGGACACUUCACAUUUGACUUGACAUUUGAUAUUCAACAGUGCUUUGAUCUGCCUGCAUUGACACCAUUCUUUAAGAGCUGCUGUGCAGCCAAAAUUAUAUACCAGUUAUCACUGUAAAGCUGCUUUGACACAAUCUGCAUUGUAAAAAGCGCUAUAUAAAUAAAGGUGACUUGACUUGA